AUUGAACGCUGGCGGCAGGCCUAACACAUGCAAGUCGAACGAGUGGCGGACGGGUGAGUAAUGUCUGGGAAACUGCCUGAUGGAGGGGGAUAACUACUGGAAACGGUAGCUAAUACCGCAUACCAUCAGAUGUGCCCAGAUGGGAUUAGCUAGUUGGUGGGGUAACGGCUCACCAAGGCGACGAUCCCUAGCUGGUCUGAGAGGAUGACCAGACACACGGGAAAUGAGACACGUCCCAGAAUCCAACGAGAGGACGAAGUGGGGAAUUUAGCACAAGGGGCGAAAGCCUGAUGCAGCCAUGCAGCGUGUAAGAAGAAGGUCUUCGGUUUGAAAAGUACUUUAGGCGGGGGGGCGUUACCCGCAGAAGAGGCCCCGGCUAACUCUGUGCCAGCAACCGCGGUAAUUC
rnacentral:rRNA from 1 species